rnacentral:rRNA from 1 species
CUGCUCAAUGUGUUUAAAUAAAUAGCUGCAGUAUUUUAACUGUACAAAGGUAGCAUAAUCAGUUGUUUAUUAAUUGUAAUCUAGUAUGAAAGAUUUGAUAAAAGAUCCACUGUCUGUGUAAUAAAUAAUAUAGUAGAAUUUAAUUAUAUAGUAAAAAGGCUUGGAUAAUAUUAAAAGACGAGAAGACCCUAUAAAAUUUUAUAUUUUAUAUAUUUUUUUUAAAGAACAAUUAAUAGAGUAAUUUGUAAAAUAUUUGAUUGGGAUGAUUAAAAAAUUUGAUAAACUUUUUUUUUAUGAAAUUUGAAAUUAAGUAAGAUUGUUUGUGAUCUAAUUUUAUUAAUAAUAAGAUAAAUUACUUUAGGGAUAACAGCAUAUUUCUUUAUAGAGAUCGGAUUAGUAAAGAGAAUUAUGACCUCGAUGUUGAAUUAUAAUAAAUAUUAAAUGGAGUUAUUUAAUUAUUUAGUCUGUUCGACUAU